rnacentral:rRNA from 1 species
CCUACGGGAGGCAGCAGUGAGGAAUAUUGGGCAAUGGAGGAGACUCUGACCCAGCCAUGCCGCGUGUAGGAAGAAUGCCCUAUGGGUUGUAAACUACUUUUAUACAGGAAGAAACACUGGUAUGUAUACCAGCUUGACGGUACUGUAAGAAUAAGGACCGGCUAACUCCGUGCCAGCAGCCGCGGUAAUACGGAGGGUCCAAGCGUUAUCCGGAAUCAUUGGGUUUAAAGGGUCCGCAGGCGGUCAAUUAAGUCAGAGGUGAAAUCCCGUCGCUCAACGACGGAACUGCCUUUGAUACUGGUUGACUUGAGUCAUAUGGAAGUAGAUAGAAUGUGUAGUGUAGCGGUGAAAUGCAUAGAGAUUACACAGAAUACCGAUUGCGAAGGCAGUCUACUACGUAUGUACUGACGCUGAGGGACGAAAGCGUGGGAGCGAACAGGAUUAGAUACCCUGGUAGUCCACGCCGUAAACGAUGGAUACUAGUUGUUGGGCAUUAGCUCAGUGACUAAGCGAAAGUGAUAAGUAUCCCACCUGGGGAGUACGGUCGCAAGACUGAAACUCAAAGGAAUUGACGG